AGAGUUUGAUCAUGGCUCAGGACGAACGCUGGCGGCGUGCUUAACACAUACAAGUCGAACGGGGAUUACGGAACGGAAGGCUUCGGCCGGAAGAACUGUAAUUCCAGUGGCGGACGGGUGAGUAACGCGUGAGCAAUCUGUCCCAGACAGGGGGAUAACACUUGGAAACAGGUGCUAAUACCGCAUAAGACCACAGGGUCGCAUGGUCCAGGGGUAAAACGGGCAACCGGGUUUGGGGUGAGUUCGCGUCCGAUUAGAUAGUUGGUGAGGUAACGGCCCACCAAGUCGACGAUCGGUAGCCGACCUGAGAGGGUGAUCGGCCACAUUGGAACUGAGAGACGGUCCAAACUCCUACGGGAGGCAGCAGUGGGGAAUAUUGGGCAAUGGGCGAAAGCCUGACCCAGCAACGCCGCGUGAGUGAAGAAGGCCUUCGGGUUGUAAAGCUCUGUUAUAGGGGACGAAGGAAGUGACGGUACCCUAUAAGGAAGCCCCGGCUAACUACGUGCCAGCAGCCGCGGUAAUACGUAGGGGGCGAGCGUUGUCCGGAAUGACUGGGCGUAAAGGGCGUGUAGGCGGCCUGAUAAGUCUGGAGUGAAAGUCCUGCUUUUAAGGUGGGAAUUGCUUUGGAUACUGUCGGGCUCGAGUGCGGAAGAGGUAAGUGGAAUUCCCAGUGUAGCGGUGAAAUGCGUAGAGAUUGGGAGGAACACCAGUGGCGAAGGCGACUUACUGGGCCGUAACUGACGCUGAGGCGCGAAAGCGUGGGGAGCGAACAGGAUUAGAUACCCUGGUAGUCCACGCGGUAAACGAUGAAUGCUAGGUGUUGCGGGUAUCGACCCCUGCAGUGCCGGAGUAAACGCAAUAAGUACCCCGCCUGGGGAGUACGGCCGCAAGGCUUAAACUCAAAGGAAUUGACGGGGGCCCGCACAAGCGGUGGAGUAUGUGGUUUAAUUCGACGCAACGCGAAGAACCUUACCAGGGCUUGACAUCGACUGAAAGAUGCAGAGAUGUAUCCCUCUCUUCGGAGACAGGAAGACAGGUGGUGCAUGGCUGUCGUCAGCUCGUGUCGUGAGAUGUUGGGUUAAGUCCCGCAACGAGCGCAACCCCUAUCCUAUGUUACCAUCAUUAAGUUGGGGACUCAUAGGAGACUGCCAGGGACAACCUGGAGGAAGGCGGGGAUGACGUCAAGUCAUCAUGCCCCUUAUGUCCUGGGCUACACACGUACUACAAUGGCCGGCAACAGAGGGAAGCGAAGCCGCGAGGCGGAGCGAACCCCAAAAACCCGGUCCCAGUUCGGAUCGCAGGCUGCAACCCGCCUGCGUGAAGUCGGAAUCGCUAGUAAUCGCAGGUCAGCAUACUGCGGUGAAUACGUUCCCGGGCCUUGUACACACCGCCCGUCACACCACGAAAGUUGGUAACACCCGAAGCCGGUGGGGUAACCGUAAGGAGCCAGCCGUCUAAGGUGGGGCCGAUGAUUGGGGUGAAGUCGUAACAAGGUAGCCGUA
rnacentral:rRNA from 1 species